rnacentral:RNase_P_RNA from 1 species
GCAGCAGGUCGCCUUAUCGCCGUCCAUUUUUGGAGGGAGGAAAGUCCGGACACCACAGAGCAGCAUAGCGGGUAACGCCCGUCGGUUCCUUCGGGAAUUAGGACAAGUGCAACAGAAAGUAUGUACAGGUAAUGCUGUAGUGAAACCAGGUAAACUCUAUGCGGUGAAAUAUCAAAUAUAUCAGCUAUUAUAGGGUUGCUCGCCCGAUGCUGAAGGGUAGAUAGAUUGACUCCGCGGGUAACUUCGGAGCUAGAUAAAUGAUAAGGAUUGUUUCGGCAAUACAGAAUCCGGCUUAUAGACCUGCUUUUUUU